UACGAAGGGGGCUAGCGUUGUUCGGAAUUACUGGGCGUAAAGCGCACGUAGGCGGAUUGUUUAGUGAGGGGUGAAAUCCCAGGGCUCAACCCUGGAACUGCCUCUCAUACUGGCAAUCUCGAGUUCGAGAGAGGUGAGUGGAAUUCCGAGUGUAGAGGUGAAAUUCGUAGAUAUUCGGAGGAACACCAGUGGCGAAGGCGGCUCACUGGCUCGAUACUGACGCUGAGGUGCGAAAGCGUGGGGAGCAAACAGGAUUAGAUACCCU
rnacentral:rRNA from 1 species